rnacentral:rRNA from 1 species
AGCAGCCGCGGUAAUUCCAGCUCCAAUAGCGUAUAUUAAAGUUGUUGCAGUUAAAAAGCUCGUAGUUGAAUUUCGGGAUCAUCAGGUUGGUCGUGCCUCUGGUAUGUACUGAUUUCGAUGGUUCCUCCUUCUUGAAGAACCGUAAUGCCAUUAAUUUGGUGUUGCGGGGAAACAGGACUGUUACUUUGAAAAAAUUAGAGUGUUUAAAGCAGGCAAUCGCUUGAAUACAUUAGCAUGGAAUAAUGAAAUAGGACGUUCGAUCCUAUUUUGUUGGUUUCUAGGAUUGACGUAAUGAUUAAUAGGGAUAGUUGGGGGCAUUAGUAUUCAAUUGUCAGAGGUGAAAUUCUUGGAUUUAUUGAAGACUAACUACUGCGAAAGCAUUUGCCAAGGAUGUUUUCAUUAAUCAAGAACGAAAGUUAGGGGAUCGAAGACGAUCAGAUACCGUCGUAGUCUUAACCAUAAACUAUGCCGACUAGGGAUCGGAUGAUGUUAAUUUUUUAAUGACUCAUUCGCGCCUUAA